UACAGAGGUCUCAAGCGUUGUUCGGAUUCAUUGGGCGUAAAGGGUGCGUAGGCGGCGCGGUAAGUCGGGUGUGAAAUCUCGGAGCUUAACUCCGAAACUGCAUUCGAUACUGCCGUGCUUGAGGACUGGAGAGGAGACUGGAAUUUACGGUGUAGCGGUGAAAUGCUUAGAUAUCGUCAAGAACACCUAUAGCGAAGGCAGCUUACUAGGCUGUAACUGACGCUGAGGCACGAAAGUGUGGGGAUCAAACAGG
rnacentral:rRNA from 1 species